AUGCAAAAAAGCAAAAUGGCUGUCUGGGGAGGCCUUACAAAUAGCUGUGAAAAAGAAGAGAGGCGAAAAAAAAAAAAAAGAAGAGAGGUGAAAAGCAAAGGAGAAAAGGAAAGAUAUAAGCAUCUGAAUGCAGAGUUCCAAAGAAUAGCAAGAAGAGAUAAGAAAGCCUUCUUCAGCGAUCAAUGCAAAGAAAUAGAGGAAAACAACAUAUUGGGAAAGACUAGAGAUCUCUUCAAGAAAAUUAGAGAUACCAAGGGAACAUUUCAUGCAAAGAUGGGCUCGAUAAAGGACAGAAAUGGUAUGGACCUAACAGAAGCAGAAGAUAUUAAGAAGAGGUGGCAAGAAUACACGGAAGAACUGUACAAAAAAGAUCUUUGCGAUCCAGAUAGUCAUGAUGAUAUGAUCACUAAUCUACAACCAGACAUCUUGGAAUGUGAAGUCAAGCAGGCCUUAGAAAGCAUCACUACGAACAAAGCUAGUGGAGGUGAUGGAAUUCCAACUAAGCUGUUUCAAAUCCUGAAAGAUGAUGCUGUGAAACUGCUGCACUCAAUAUGCCAGCAAAUUUCGAAAACUCAGCAGUGGCCACAGGACUGGAAAAAGUCAGUUUUCAUUCCAAUCCCAAAGAAAGGCAAUGCCAAAGAAUGCUCAAACUACCACACAAUUGCACUCAUCUCACAUGCUAGUAAAGUAAUGUUCAAAAUUCUCCAAGCCAGGCUUCAGCAAUACGUGAACCAUGAACUCCCUGACGUUCAAGCUGGAUUUAGAAAAGGCAGAGGAACCAGAGAUCAAAUUGCCAACAUCCACUGGAUCAUGGAAAAAGCAAGAGAGUUCCAGAAAAACAUCUAUUUCUGCUUUAUUGACUAUGCCAAAGCCUUUGACUGUGUGGAUCACAAUAAACUGUGGAAAAUUCUGAGAGAGAUGGGAAUACAAGACGACCUGACCUGCCUCUUGAGAAAUCUGUAUGCAGGUCAGGAAGCAACAGUUAGAACUGGACAUGGAACAACAGACUGGUUCCAAAUAGGAAAAGGAGUACGUCAAGGCUGUAUAUUGUCACCCUGCUUAUUUAACUUCUAUGCAGAGUACAUCAUGAGAAACGCUGGACUGGAAGAAACACAAGCUGGAAUCAAGAUUGCCGGGAGAAAUAUCAAUAACCUCAGAUAUACAGAUGACACCACCCUUAUGGCAGAAAGUGAAGAGGAGCUAAAAAGCCUCUUGAUGAAAGUGAAAGAGGAGAGCGAAAAAGUUGGCCUAAAGCUCAACAUUCAGAAAAUGAAGAUCAUGGCAUCCGGUCCCAUCACUUCAUGGGAAAUAGAUGGGGAAACAGUGGAAACAGUGUCAGACUUUGUUUUUUGGGGCUCCAGAAUCAAUGCAGAUGGUGACUGCAGCCAUGAAAUUAAAAGACGCUUACUCCUUGGAAGAAAAGUUAUGAGCAACCUAGAUAGCAUAUUCAAAAGCAGAGACAUUACUUUGCCGACUAAGGUCCAUCUAGUCAAGGUUAUGGUUUUUCCUGUGGUCAUGUAUGGAUGUGAGAGUUGGACUAUAAAGAAAGCUGAGCACCAAAGAAUCAAUGCUUUUGAACUGUGGUGUUGGAGAAGACUCUUGAGAGUCCCUUGGACUGCAAGGAGAUCCAACCAGUCCAUUCUGAAGGAGAUCAACCCUGGGAUUUCUUUGGAAGGAAUCAUGCUAAAGCUGAAACUCCAGUAUCUUGGACACCUCAUGAGAAGAGUUGACACAUUGGAAAAGACUCUGAUGCUGGGAGGGAUUGGGGGCAGGAGGAAAAGGGGACGACCGAGGAUGAGAUGGCUGGAUGGUAUCACUGACUCGAUGGACGUGAGUCUGAGUGAACUCCGGGAGAUGGUGGUGAACAGGGAGGCCUGGCGUGCUGCGAUUCAUGGGGUCGCAAAGAGUCGGACAUGA
rnacentral:lncRNA from 1 species